AGUGAACGCUGGCGGUAGGCCUAACACAUGCAAGUCGAACGGCAGCACAGUAAGGGCUUGCUCUUACGGGUGGCGAGUGGCGGACGGGUGAGGAAUACAUCGGAAUCUACUUUUUCGUGGGGGAUAACGUAGGGAAACUUACGCUAAUACCGCAUACGACCUACGGGUGAAAGCAGGGGAUCUUCGGACCUUGCGCGAUUGAAUGAGCCGAUGUCGGAUUAGCUAGUUGGCGGGGUAAAGGCCCGCCAAGGCGACGAUCCGUAGCUGGUCUGAGAGGAUGAUCAGCCACACUGGAACUGAGACACGGUCCAGACUCCUACGGGAGGCAGCAGUGGGGAAUAUUGGACAAUGGGCGCAAGCCUGAUCCAGCCAUACCGCGUGGGUGAAGAAGGCCUUCGGGUUGUAAAGCCCUUUUGUUGGGAAAGAAAAGCAGCAGGUUAAUACCCCGCUGUUCUGACGGUACCCAAAGAAUAAGCACCGGCUAACUUCGUG
rnacentral:rRNA from 1 species